rnacentral:rRNA from 1 species
UACGUAGGGUGCAAGCGUUGUCCGGAAUUAUUGGGCGUAAAGAGCUCGUAGGCGGUUUGUCGCGUCUGCUGUGAAAACCCGAGGCUCAACCUCGGGCCUGCAGUGGGUACGGGCAGACUAGAGUGCGGUAGGGGAGAAUGGAAUUCCUGGUGUAGCGGUGGAAUGCGCAGAUAUCAGGAGGAACACCGAUGGCGAAGGCAGUUCUCUGGGCCGUAACUGACGCUGAGGAGCGAAAGCAUGGGGAGCGAACAGG